GAGAACAUAGCCUAAAUAAUAAGGUUUUGGGUUGAAGUUCCAAGGAUGGUCCCACGGACCUGUUCUCA
rnacentral:tRNA from 1 species